UUGUGCUCUUAAGUGUUAAUCCUCUUACCUUUCACCCUUGCAAAACCAGCUAAGAACCAGCAGGAUCUGCUAAGAGCCCAGGAAUGACUGCCAGCAGCUGCACCUCACAGGCACCAGCAGCCUAAGCCAGAUGAUCUCUACUAACCAUUAACAGCAAGAUUACCCAGCUGCUCAGCUCAAAGUGGCAGACUGAUAACCUGGAGACAUCCCUCAGGGAACAUCCAUUUGAUGAUUUCAUUAUGAGGAUAGGAGAUACCUUCCCACAACAGCAGCUUUUGCAGCCAAGGCUCUGCUCCCACUCUGGUCCAGGGAAAUUUGCAUAUGGAGGUCUUUGCCCAUCCUGCUGCAGGCGUUUUACCCCUCUGCCUGAAGUUCUCCUGCAUGACUUCUGGGUCACCCAAAAUCCUCCAAAAGAUUGAUUUUGAUCACCCAAGAAAGGAAGGAGUUGACAAGUCACAGCAAUACUUAUCAAGGGGUAAAUAUCACCCCGGAGUGAAGGGAAAAGAUACAGAAAAUUCCUGAUUUUUUUUACCAGUAACCAAGCAGUUGACUUGGACUAUUAAAUGAGCAAUGUCCACAAAGUGAGUUCAUGCUUUGGAAAGGUUAAUCUAACCCAGUUUCAGCAGGAAUGUUUCCACCAGACUUAUGUUGCAAAUCCCCAUUUGGGGGAUUUAAAACCUUCCCCUGCCGUGUUUAUAAUCCUGAUGUUGCAACACACUACUGAAGCACAAAAGAAAAAUAGGGAAAAAACUGAUUGUAGGUGGGCCAGGGAAAUGUUUUCAUCCAAUUUGAGUAGAAAAUGAAUCAGAAAGGUAAAUGGAAAUAGGAAAAUGAUACAUUACAGUUAACUUUGCCAGUCAGCAUCUCCUGUAGCCCAUAUUUCCUGCCUUGUAGCCACAUGCAAUCAUCCACACUCUUCCAUAGCAGAUAUAUCUUCCUUGCAAGGACACAAUUAGUGCCCAAACCCACACACAAGUUCCCAGUUUGCACUAGCACAAAAGGCUGGAAAUGGUGCUCUCCCAACCUGCUCAGAUGUUCUUCUCACAACACAGGACAUGCAAUACUCAUCUCCCAUUUGAAAAGAUUUUCUACCAGGCAGUUGUAGCAGCUUGAUAAAAAAGUCUCCAGUGGUCAAAAGACAGCAAGAUAAAUUCUGGGGAGAAAUCCAUUGAGGGCUAUUAAACACAGAGAUGUCACCUCUGGCAUUGCAGAUGGCAAAUUGCUGGAGCUUGGGGAGUAUUGACAGGCACUCCAUGCUUGUCUCCCCAGGCCCUCACCAUUAGCUCAGAGUCAGGAAACAAAUUCCAAUUGCACUUCCUUGGGCUGAUGGAUUUUGUGGUCCUGCUCUUUCUGCCUCACCACCCAUGGCUCCUACCAGCUGUUCUCCCUAAAAAUGUUUUACAGCCAGAAAUACAACAAGCAUAGCUGGUGCUUUUUCUGUCUUCUGAAAUGAGUAAAUCCUUAAAGGCAGUUGUGGGUGCUGUGGGGAUUUGUUGCUGGUUGUUGGAGGUGCAGGUGGUCCUCUGUGCUGCACCCCAUGAGAGGACACCAGGAGCUGCCUGUGGAGGAGAAUGCAACCACUCCAGACCUGGAGUUCAUGGAAGUCAUUUUUUCUAAAGGUGUAGUGUUGGAAGAAUACUACUGUAAAAUAGAAUGGCAUUGCAAGAGACGAAAUUCCUUUAGAUUUUCAGAAUUAAUUAACUGCUACUCUUCCAAAGAUGUACUUUCUGUUUUGCUUGUGGAUACCCAACAGCUCCCUUGACACUGAGCCAUUUUAGACUGGGGUUUUACCAAAUCAGAGCAUGGAUUUGCCUAUAUAAAUUAGUGCCUAAUUUAUAUAGGUUUUUGCUGAUACUUACUGGCUGUGACCAUUUCUAGUGCACUUCAGACACAAUAGCAACUCAUACUAUUGAAACUGCUCUUCAAAAUCACUUCAGAAAAUCUUGGACACCUCCCUUGUGGUAGCAGCAGAAACUCUAUUUCAUUGGCCUAUAAAAAAUUGAACUUGAAGGACUAAUCCAACUGCUCUUUCUUCUUAACACUUCCUCUCCAUAUAGCAGUUUUGAUAUAAAAUGUGGUAUAACUUUUACUUAAAAUGUACAUUUUCAGAAUAAAGACAAUUUCAGCACUUAA